UGCACACACCGCCCGUCACACCACGAGAGUUUGCAACACCCGAAGCCGGUGAGGUAACCGCAAGGAGCCAGCCGUCGAAGGUGGGGUAGAUGAUUGGGGUGAAGUCGUAACAAGGUAGCCGUAUCGGAAGGUGCGGCUGGAUCACCUCCUUUCUAAGGAA
rnacentral:rRNA from 1 species